GACGAACGCUGGCGGCGUGCUUAACACAUGCAAGUCGAACGAAGUCGCGAACGGGUGAGUAACGCGUAUUCAACCUGCCCUUCAGUGGGGGACAACAGUUGGAAACGACUGCUCAUACCGCAUACUGAAGGUGGGGAUUUAGUCUGAUUCGCUAGUUGGGGGGGUAACGGCCCACCAAGGCGAUGAUCAGUAGCCGGUCUGAGAGGAGGAACGGCCAAAUUGGGACUGGAAAACGGCCCAGACUCCUACGGGAGGCAGCAGUGGGGAAUCUUCCGCAAUGGACGAAAGUCUGACGGAGCAACGCCGGGUGAGUGAUGACGGCCUUCGGGUUGGAAAGCUCUGUUAAUCGGGACGCGGUACCGGAAUAGAAAGCCACGGCUAACUACGUGCCAGCCGCCGCGGUAAUUC
rnacentral:rRNA from 1 species